rnacentral:lncRNA from 1 species
UAGGGACUUAAGAAAUAUUUGUUGAAUGAAUGAAUGGCACUCAACGGAUGUUUGUUGAAAGAAUGCAUUAAUGAAUUGAUCAGUCAAUCAAGGAAACUCCAUAGGAAAGGUACAGAGAAAGGCUCUCAGAUUUCAGAGGACAGGAGUAUCAUUUCUGGCAGGGCUGUGGCAGGUGGCCAGGGAAGACUUUUCUGUGGAGGUGACGAGCUGUCAAGUUUGCAGUCCACCUUGGGAAGAGUGGGAUCUGAAAAGAGCAGCCGCUCACCGGUCACUUUUCUUUCAAGGGAAGGGAGGAAGCUGGGAUUAGAAAUGCUAAUCAUCCCUUGAAGAAUGGCUCCUCUUGGCGGCGGAAUACACACAGGGCUGCUCUGUUUAUUUUCCUUUGGCCUCAAGGAGCUGGGGCCUCUUUUUCAUCCUAAUUGCUUUGCUUCAAGUUGCUGUCACAUCCCAGGAACGGCAGCAAAUUAACUGUGCUCAGAGAGGGAGCUAGCACUGGGUUGCGGUGGAAACGAGGGACUGAGGACUUUGUAGGUGCCACUCUGCAGAGGGACAGUGCUGCCUGCCUGCCAGCUGAUUUUGCAGUCAAAUGCUGGCUCUGACAGGGACUUCUGUUUGACCAUGGGUAAAUUCCUUAAAGUUGCUGAAAUGAAUGAAGGUGUCUCAACUCUAACCGGAGAUGAUAAUUCCAGGAGGGUUGUCCUGAGAGUGAAAUAAGAGCUUCUAGACCAGCAUACGCAAUCCUCACCUUCCAAGUUCCUUGCCCUGGUUCCUCUUCACACUUUCCCCUCCACCCAUUAUUGACACCCUUACUGUUUGGAAGGCACAGUUUUGGUGAAUGGACUGUGUUCCAGCAGUCUGUGCUUAUCGCUCAUGACACAGCAGGAUGGCAUCCAGGGGACCUGGGUCCAUAUUCCAGCUCCACUUGCCAGCUGUGUGAUGUUGGGCAAAUGGAGAUGAUGAUGAGAGACUGUUAUAGAGUCUCUGUGCAGAUUAUGUGAAGUGCCUGUAGUGGGGCCAGAGAAAUAGGCUGGAGUCUGAGUGUGAAGAGCCUUGAAUGCCAGGCUGGAGAACUUGGGCUUUAUUCUGUAGGAAGUGGGGAACCACAGUAAGUUUUUGAGGCAGUAAGUGUGACCGACAGAGCUGCUUUUUGUAUUCAGAUAGCAAGCCCCUCAUCCAGCCCUGGGCUGACGGCUCCUUGUCCCUGCAGAUCAGCUUGUCCCUCCAGAUCAGCUCCUUUCUCCUGCUCCGCACCCCGAGAGGUGGUCCUGUCUGGGUGAUAUCACUGGACUCCCUUGACUGGCUCCCAGUACAGAGCAGCAGCAAAAGGUGGGAAGUGGGGAGGCGUAUGGAGUCAGGGAACUUAGUUCCUGGCUCCCUCCCUGUGGGGUGAUCUUGCACUGACCUUUUUCCUUCACUGACUCAAGUCCCCGCCACUGUCAGCUGGUCUUUUCCUUACAGCCGUCUGUCUCCAGGCUGAGGUGGCUGCCCCCUUCCCUCCUGCGCAGACGCAGGAGUGGUGAAGCCCCAAGCUCACUAGCCUGGUGCUAUCCCUUAGGGGCCCUCCACCCUUUGUGAACAGCCUCUUUCCUCAACCCUCCUCUAGUGACCUGAUUUGAGUGUGCCAUCUCUUUCCUGUCAAGACCCUGCUGGACAUGUGCCCUGUCCCCUCUGACCCUCAGCUCUCUGGGCUGUGUUACCAAGUGGCUUGGCUGGGGCACAGUGUACUGGAAAAUGCCCAUCUCAGUGCCUCUGCCUGAUCACACAGUUAUGGGAACCAGAGGAAUGUCUUACAGGCAGAGGUGGCGCCUCCGUGACCGGAAGCCAGGGCCUUGCCUCCCAAGGCACUUGAAUUUGAGGGGGAAAAGAUUGACCUUUAGAAGCUCUCCGAGGAGUGGCUGGGAAUGGAAACAGAACCAGAUGGCAUGAGCUCCAGAGUGCACAGCUUCUGUCACCCCCUCCCAAGUGAGGGGCCAGGCAGGCCUGCAGCCCCGGCCUCCACCACCCUGGCUGGACCGGACCAUUACAAGAUUUAUCCAAGGGGUCCUGCAAGGUACAUAGAGGGAGCCCUGGGGAUCCUUGCUUCAGGCCCAGCCCUGCCACCUGUUUGCUGGGUGACAUGGGGCUGGUUGCAUCACCUUUCUGAGCCCCAGUUUGUAUCUGUGGUUGAGAUGUGUCUGGUGCAUACAUUUGCUGUGGGGUCAGGUGGGGGAACGUGUGUGCCGGCUCACUGUGAAGGGAGCCAGUGUAGUGGCAGGGAGGCUCCAGCUGCGGCUCAGACUUCCUGGAUUCUAAUCCAGUUCUAAUACUUUCUGACUGUGUGAUCUUGAGCAGUUGCUUAACCUCUCUGAGCCUCAGGUGGGCAUCUGUCAGGACAGCAGAACCUAAACUGAAAGGGCUGUUGGGAGAGUAAAUGAGAGAGAGCGCAGACAGGGCGUAGAGCAGAGCCUGGCUGUCAGUGUCAGUGAACCAGAAACCUCCCUGCCCUCAGGCAUGGGCAGUGGAGUAUCUUGGCGAUAGCAGUCAGUCUGACUUCAGAUGGAGAAGGCAAUUAAUGACUGCCUGGUGUAGUUGGGAGCCCCAAAGAGUUUUGGCCUUGAAAGGAUCUCUCAUCAUUCCUCCUGAUUAGGGCAUUGUCUGCAGAAUAUGACUCUAGGGACAAAGGCUGGUGCCCCCUCUGGUGGAGGGAGGACAGUGCUUUGCUGGACAGGCAAGUGUGUGAGUCCUCUCACCUGUGCAGGCAGCCUCCCCAGCCCUGGGUCUGACUGAAGAUCCAGAUGCUAAGAACUUGGCAUCCCUGUGACCCAUGGGCCCCAGCUCUGUAACUGAGGUCCCUGCACUCCUGGGGAGCUAAAGACGCUUCUCUUAGGUUCAGUCUCCUACCUUGAACCCCCAAAACAGCUCUGGACUGCCUCUAGGCGGUCUCAUGGGCCACCUGCCCCCACCAGGCCUGGGGUUGAUAUGACAAAUCAAAGCUCCUCAUCACAGGCACGGGGUGGUGGCUUCCUUGCCCAGCAGCACCCACUGCUCUCCUCAGAGUUCAAUCUGCUCCACUGCCGAGUGUGGCCACUGCUGCUGGCCUGCUCAAGGACAGCAACGCACACUUGUCUCUGCUUGCCUUGCUGCCAUACAAAAGGUGCCAUGUGGUUUCCAAAGGAGCACAGCACAGGGGGUGUGAACCAGCUGGAACCUCACUCCCUUCCAUGGGCACCAGGGGGCCUGUGCAGAUCAACACCAGGACCCUCCCAGCAACGACAGGGAUCCCUUCUUCAGCCCCAGCCCUGCAGUCCUUCCAGGCUCUGAAGUCUGGGUGCUGAGGAACGGGGGUGGCUGCCUUGUUUCUCGGAAAUCACCUCACUAGUAGUCAUCCCAAGUACUAGACCUUCCUUGAAUCCCUUCUGGCGGGUCUUUCAGCUGGAGUUCAGUGACAACCCUUUGGAAGGCAGCUCGCUUUCAGCAUGGGCCACUCCUCAGGUGACUCUCCUGGGCCCCCCUCUCCCCCCACUCUUUU